UGAGCCAUCUCUCCAGCUCCCCCAUCCUGUCAUGUCUACCCUUGUCGCUUAACCCCUUCCCUCCACGGAGCACAUACACUCCCUGCUUCCUGCAGAUCCUGGAACUUGGGGCCAGCCAGAGCCAGGAGUUGACAGCUAGUACAAGAAAGAAAUAGAGUUGGGAUUUUGCAGAUAAAGGCCCCCCUUCCUGGUGACCAUACUCCAUCCACAACUCUUGGCUUAGGAUGUCCUGGAGAUAAGAUAUAUCAAAGAUUCCUCUAAUGGGAAAGGCUGCGAUUGCUGUACACCCACCGACUCCAGCCUUCCAUGAUUGUCAUUCUGACCAUUCCACUUGGCCCCAGUGUCCAGGCCUCCCAGGCUCCCUCCACCCCCAUGCUCCACAGAGAGCCCCAAUGGCAGGCCCUGACAUGCUUUGGAAGCCAUAGGAGAUAGAGUGGGGCAUCCUGUCUAGAUUCCCAAAUUUCUCUCUCAUCUUCCUGGCCCUGCCUCUGCUCCAUCAACAUAUGCACCCACACUCGAGGUUGCUCAGGGGGCAAAACUGAGAAAAGGGCUCUAGUCAGGACCCUUAAGAAGGCUAUUGUUCCUCUCUGUGUGUACUGAGCCUCGUAGCUCUCCACUGUCAUCCUGUUUCCUCUGAAAAAACCUGGCCUCUAGGGCUCAUUUUCUACAGCUCCUCAUUCUCAUGGCAUUUUUUUUUUAUCUCCAGGAAAGCACAUGUCUCAUGAACAAAAGCACUCUGUGGGCAUUGCAGACCUGAGAGGAGACAAGGAGUGUGAAAAGGGUACCCACACCACCUUUCUUCUCCUCCAGGUUCUAGCACAGGGGCCUACCUGGGUCCUUGAGUGAGCAUCCCUUUCUUCAUCUGGCACAUCCUCUGGAGUCUAAGCUCCAGAUAGGCACUGGGCUCAUCCAGCACAUGCCCCAGGCCUCCCGGGGCUCUCUGAUGACAUGGUGGUGACAGCGUUUCCUAGGGAACUGCAGCUAGCUGCCAGACCAACAUGCCUGUGCCCCUUGGGGCUGUGGUGGGCGUAGGCUGGGAUGCUCCAGAGGGAAGGUGUGUGUCUGUGUGUAAUGAGAUGAGGAGUGUGUGUCUACACAAGAAUCCUCAUGUGAGUGUGUGACACUGUGGGCGAAGCAUUCCCUCGUUGACUUCUGUAUCUGGGGUCUUCAUAAGGUGCAUGUGUUAGUGUCUUGGGUCUGUGUCCUGCAAGCCUCUGCAUGUGAGCUUGUGUGCCCUGGGGCUUUGGUGUGCCUCUAAAUCCAUGUGGGUGUAUGUAUCUUUAAGUGUGUGCUUGUAUAUCUGUGUGUGUGAAUAUAUUUGAGCAUCUGUGUAUGUAUAUGUAGUGCAUUGGGCUUCUGUGGUACUCUUAUGCUCUCUCUGCAGGCCUAAGGCUUCUUGCAGCAGCCUCCUGGGCCCAGAGCCAAGCUUUCUAUCCAGCUAGCAAUGCACCAUUCCUGACCCUGAGCCUUCAGGUAAACUGCCUUUAGCAAACAGCACGGAGGGCAACAAGCAGGGUCACUAAAGCAAGCCCAAACCUGGCUGAGAGCUUGAAGGUGCUACCACUCUCCAAGGCUUGCUAGCUGGAAGCAAGAAACAAUAAUGUCUACAGAGUAGCCCCUUUCCCUGAGUGCCACCUCCCUCAGUGAGACAGGAUACAGGAACAGUGAAGCCUGAUCUCUGUGCAUUGCAUCUGGACAUCCUGGAUACCUGAUUGACACAGGAGAUGCGAAAUAAGGUUGUAUCUGGUAGGAAGAAAGAGCUUCUUCUCCUGAAAUGGAUGCCUGGUGGUGCCCUGGAAGGUAAGGGGUCAGGGGAGAAGGCUCUAGCAGUGUCUGGACCAUGUCCCAGUGUGGCCACCUUGAGCAAACAGCAGGUAGGCCUGAUGGUGUGCAGCCAGGGGUGGGUCGAAUGACUUCCUCCUCCAUUCCCGAGACCUGUUGCAGUCUGAGCAGGCUUUUGUGGCUGACCUCAUUGUUUUGUGAUACAAUAAACAUCAGACCUGA